rnacentral:rRNA from 1 species
UCAGAGGCGAUGAAGGGCGUGCUAAUCUGCGAUAAGCGCCGGUAAGGUGAUAUGAACCGUUAUAACCGGCGAUACCCGAAUGGGGAAACCCAGUGUGACUCGUCACACUAUCAUUAACUGAAUCCAUAGGUUAAUGAGGCGAACCGGGGGAACUGAAACAUCUAAGUACCCCGAGGAAAAGAAAUCAACCGAGAUUCCCCCAGUAGCGGCGAGCGAACGGGGAGGAGCCCAGAGCCUGAAUCAGCAUGUGUGUUAGUGGAAGCGUCUGGAAAGGCGCGCGAUACAGGGUGACAGCCCCGUACACAAAAGCGCAUGUGCUGUGAGCUCGAUGAGUAGGGCGGGACACGUGGUAUCCUGUCUGAAUAUGGGGGGACCAUCCUCCAAGGCUAAAUACUCCUGACUGACCGAUAGUGAACCAGUACCGUGAGGGAAAGGCGAAAAGAACCCCGGCGAGGGGAGUGAAAAAGAACCUGAAACCGUGUACGUACAAGCAGUGGGAGCACCCUUUGGGUGUGACUGCGUACCUUUUGUAUAAUGGGUCAGCGACUUAUAUUCUGUAGCAAGGUUAACCGAAUAGGGGAGCCGGAGGGAAACCGAGUCUUAAUUGGGCGUUAAGUUGCAGGGUAUAGACCCGAAACCCGGUGAUCUAGCCAUGGGCAGGUUGAAGGUUGGGUAACACUAACUGGAGGACCGAACCGACUAAUGUUGAAAAAUUAGCGGAUGACCUGUGGCUGGGGGUGAAAGGCCAAUCAAACCGGGAGAUAGCUGGUUCUCCCCGAAAGCUAUUUAGGUAGCGCCUCGUGAAUUCAUCUCCGGGGGUAGAGCACUGUUUCGGCUAGGGGGCCAUCCCGGCUUACCAACCCGAUGCAAACUGCGAAUACCGGAGAAUGUUAUCACGGGAGACACACGGCGGGUGCUAACGUCCGUCGUGAAGAGGGAAACAACCCAGACCGCCAGCUAAGGUCCCAAAGUCAUGGUUAAGUGGGAAACGAUGUGGGAAGGCCCAGACAGCCAGGAUGUUGGCUUAGAAGCAGCCAUCAUUUAAAGAAAGCGUAAUAGCUCACUGGUCGAGUCGGCCUGCGCGGAAGAUGUAACGGGGCUAAACCAUGCACCGAAGCUGCGGCAGCGACACUGUGUGUUGUUGGGUAGGGGAGCGUUCUGUAAGCCUGUGAAGGUGUGUCGUGAGGCAUGCUGGAGGUAUCAGAAGUGCGAAUGCUGACAUAAGUAACGAUAAAGCGGGUGAAAAGCCCGCUCGCCGGAAGACCAAGGGUUCCUGUCCAACGUUAAUCGGGGCAGGGUGAGUCGACCCCUAAGGCGAGGCCGAAAGGCGUAGUCGAUGGGAAACGGGUUAAUAUUCCCGUACUUGGUGUUACUGCGAAGGGGGGACGGAGAAGGCUAUGUUGGCCGGGCGACGGUUGUCCCGGUUUAAGCGUGUAGGUGUGUGUUCCAGGUAAAUCCGGUUCACUUUAACACUGAGGCGUGACGACGAGGCACUACGGUGCUGAAGCAACAAAUGCCCUGCUUCCAGGAAAAGCCUCUAAGCAUCAGGUAACAUCAAAUCGUACCCCAAACCGACACAGGUGGUCAGGUAGAGAAUACCAAGGCGCUUGAGAGAACUCGGGUGAAGGAACUAGGCAAAAUGGUGCCGUAACUUCGGGAGAAGGCACGCUGACACGUAGGUGAAGUGAUUUACUCAUGGAGCUGAAGUCAGUCGAAGAUACCAGCUGGCUGCAACUGUUUAUUAAAAACACAGCACUGUGCAAACACGAAAGUGGACGUAUACGGUGUGACGCCUGCCCGGUGCCGGAAGGUUAAUUGAUGGGGUCAGCGCAAGCGAAGCUCCUGAUCGAAGCCCCGGUAAACGGCGGCCGUAACUAUAACGGUCCUAAGGUAGCGAAAUUCCUUGUCGGGUAAGUUCCGACCUGCACGAAUGGCGUAAUGAUGGCCAGGCUGUCUCCACCCGAGACUCAGUGAAAUUGAACUCGCUGUGAAGAUGCAGUGUACCCGCGGCAAGACGGAAAGACCCCGUGAACCUUUACUAUAGCUUGACACUGAACAUUGAGCCUUGAUGUGUAGGAUAGGUGGGAGGCUUUGAAGUGUGGACGCCAGUCUGCAUGGAGCCGACCUUGAAAUACCACCCUUUAAUGUUUGAUGUUCUAACGUGGACCCGUUACCCGGGUUGCGGACAGUGUCUGGUGGGUAGUUUGACUGGGGCGGUCUCCUCCUAAAGAGUAACGGAGGAGCACGAAGGUUGGCUAAUCCUGGUCGGACAUCAGGAGGUUAGUGCAAUGGCAUAAGCCAGCUUGACUGCGAGCGUGACGGCGCGAGCAGGUGCGAAAGCAGGUCAUAGUGAUCCGGUGGUUCUGAAUGGAAGGGCCAUCGCUCAACGGAUAAAAGGUACUCCGGGGAUAACAGGCUGAUACCGCCCAAGAGUUCAUAUCGACGGCGGUGUUUGGCACCUCGAUGUCGGCUCAUCACAUCCUGGGGCUGAAGUAGGUCCCAAGGGUAUGGCUGUUCGCCAUUUAAAGUGGUACGCGAGCUGGGUUUAGAACGUCGUGAGACAGUUCGGUCCCUAUCUGCCGUGGGCGCUGGAGAACUGAGGGGGGCUGCUCCUAGUACGAGAGGACCGGAGUGGACGCAUCACUGGUGUUCGGGUUGUCAUGCCAAUGGCACUGCCCGGUAGCUAAAUGCGGAAGAGAUAAGUGCUGAAAGCAUCUAAGCACGAAACUUGCCCCGA